rnacentral:rRNA from 1 species
AGCAGCCGCGGUAAUUCCAGCUCCAAUAGCGUAUAUUAAAGUUGUUGCAGUUAAAAAGCUCGUAGUUGAAUUUCGAGACCGGCUUACUGGUCGUGCUAUUGUACGUACUGGUAUAAUCGGUUUCUCCUUUCUGACGAACUAUAAUGCCAUUAAUUUGGUGUUAUAGGGAAUCAGGACUGUUACUUUGAAAAAUUAGAGUGUUUAAAGCAGGCUCACGCUUGAAUACAUUAGCAUGGAAUAACGGAAUAGGACGUUUGAUUCUAUUUUGUUGGUUUCUAGGAUCGACGUAAUGAUUAAUAGGGAUAGUUGGGGGCAUUAGUAUUCAAUUGUCAGAGGUGAAAUUCUUGGAUUUAUUGAAGACUAACUACUGCGAAAGCAUUUUGCCAAGGAUGUUUUCAUUAAUCAAGAACGAAAGUUAGGGGAUCGAAGACGAUCAGAUACCGUCGUAGUCUUAACCAUAAACUAUGCCGACUAGGGAUCGGAUGAUGUUAAUUUUUUCAAUGACUCAUUCGGCGCCUUA